CCCCUAGAUGUUCUGGGCCGCACGCGCGCUACACUGAACAGUUCAACAAGUCUUAACCUUGGCCGAUAGGUCUGGGUAAUCUUUGAACGCUGUUCGUGAUUGGGAUAGACCUUUGCAAUUAUGGGUCUUCAACGAGGAAUUCCUAGUAAACGCAAGUCAUCAGCUUGCAUUGAUUACGUCCCUGCCCUUUGUACACACCGCCCGUCGCACCUACCGAUUGAAUGGUCCGGUGAAAUCUCGGGACGGCGGCUUGGUCGCUUGCGUCCGACUGCUGAAACUUGUUUAAACCAUAUCAUUUAGAGGAAGGUGAAGUCGUAACA
rnacentral:rRNA from 1 species